CCAGACUCCUACGGGAGGCAGCAGUGGGGGAUAUUGCACAAUGGGGGGAACCCUGAUGCAGCGACGCCGCGUGGGUGAAGGAGUAUUUCGGUAUGUAAAGCCCUAUCGGCAGGGAAGAAGAAAGACGGUACCUGACUAAGAAGCCCCGGCUAACUACGUGCCAGCAGCCGCGGUAAUACGUAGGGGGCGAGCGUUAUCCGGAUUUACUGGGUGUAAAGGGAGCGCAGACGGCAGUGCAAGUCUGGAGUGAAAGCCCGGGGCCCAACCCCGGGACUGCUCUUGGAACUGCGCGGCUGGAGUGCAGGAGGGGCAGGCGGAAUUCCUGGUGUAGCGGUGAAAUGCGUAGAUAUCAGGAGGAACACCGGCGGCGAAGGCGGCCUGCUGGACUGAAACUGACGUUGGGGCUCGAAAGCGUGGGGAGCAAACAGGAUUAGAUACCCGGGUA
rnacentral:rRNA from 1 species